GACGAACGCUGGCGGCGUGCCUAAUACAUGCAAGUCGAACGCUGAAGGAGGAGCUUUCUUCUCUGCAUGAGUUGCGAACGGGUGAGUAACGCGUAGGUAACCUGCCUGGUAGCGGGGGAUAACUAUUGGAAACGAUAGCUAAUAACGCAUAAUAGCAGUUGUUGCAUGACAACUGUUUGAAAGGUGCAAUUGCACCACUACCAGAUGGACCUGCGUUGUAUUAGCUAGUUGGUGGGGUAACGGCUCACCAAGGCGACGAUACAUAGCCGACCUGAGAGGGGGAUCGGCCACCCUGGGACGGAGACACGCCCCAGACUCCCAGGGGAGGCGGCAGUAGGGAAUCUUGGGCCAUGGACGGAAGAUUGACCAAGAAACGCGGCGGGAGUGAAGAAGGUUGUCGGAUCGUAAAGCUCUGUUGUAAGAGAAGAACGCGUGUGAGAGUGGAAAGUUCACACUGUGACGGUAUCUUAGCAGAAAGCUACGGCUAACUACGUG
rnacentral:rRNA from 1 species